ACCUCAAUGACGAGUCCCAAAUAGGAUGAAACGUGCUUCCCAAAU
rnacentral:hammerhead_ribozyme from 1 species